AGCUUUGUGCAGUGGCUGUAUCGUAGCCAAUGAGGUUUAUCUGAGGCGCGAUUAUUACUAAUUGAAAACUUUUCCCAAUACCCCACUGUGACGUCCUGCCAUAUAGUCGGCACUGGCAAUUUUUGACAGUCUCUACGGAGA
rnacentral:snRNA from 1 species